GGAGAGAAGGGUAAAGCCCGCGUCCGGGAAACUUGAAAACUGCCGACGGGCAACCGUCCGUGAGUUCGAAUCUCACAGUCUCCGCCA
rnacentral:tRNA from 1 species